ACUCGCUCUUUUUCCAUUACCACGUAAAUAAGCAACAAUAUCCGCAUAAAUUGUGUUUGUGCUUAGGCCGUUAGACAUACGACUCCUACCUUGGGAAGAAAGCUGUAGUCAAACACUACCUGAGAAAUCAAACUGUAGCCCACACUACCUUGAAGAGCAGAACUGGCUUAUAACCGCCGACAGUAUCCUGGGUCCAACUACUGAUACAUCAGAAGAAUGAGUUCUACAAGAUAGCCCUAGACUUCCCACAACUACCGACAGCAACAAGUUCUACAGAGAUUGAAACCCUCCCUUGAGAACUAUGUGACUCCUACAGGAAGAUUUGAAGCUGAGUACUAUUGUUUGAUAAUUUUUAUACCGGUAACCAGCCGGGCCUCUGUCACAGUUUUGGAAAAUUAAUCUUGUUGCCUGUACAUAAUAAUAUAAUGAUUUUUGUUAAUUUUUUUUAUUUGAAUAAAUAUAGUGUAUACAGCAU